AAUUAUAAUGAGGUCCUCCCCCGCAUUCUACAGUUUGAGGGUGGGGCUACCCUAGUUUGUUUUGGCUAUUAAAAAAGAAGACAGUGCUCAAGAUCGAUGUCUUUACUUCAAUUUGCUUUGCUGGCAGUACUCUCUGUGACCACUGAAGUACAGGGGCAAGGGCAAGGCUGCCAGUGGUGGCAACUGAGAACUCUCAGAAAUCACCAGAGGAGACCGUCAAAGUGUCAGAGGGUAGUGUUGCUAUAGGGACAUUAAGACCGAUGAUACUUUGUUAAGUUCCGAAGGCGAUACAAAACUUAUAAAGUAGCUCUAUAUUUACCCAGUGUAUAUAUAUAUACACAUUAGUGUGUAUACACAGUGUAUUUUGUGCAAUAAAGACUAUAAUUUAUAGCAACUCGUAAUAAUUAUGUUUAACACUAUUAUAUCAUCACACUCCCCUCA